UUCACGGUAUUGCAAUGAGAACAAUUUACAACCCUUAGCGAGAAUCAAGUGGAGGACAAGUCUGGUGCCAGCACCCGCGGUAAUUCCAGCUCCACUAGCGUAUAUUAAAGUUGUUGCAGUUAAAAAGCUCGUAGUUGAACCUCUGUCUGGGGCUAGUUUUGGCUUUGGUCAGGCUAGUUCUAGGCAUCCACCUACAAGACUUAGAGGGCAUUCAGUUGUUCACUAGGAGGAGUAGGCAUUUUACUUUGAAAAAAUUAGAGUGUUUAAGGCAGGCAAUCGCCCGCAUAUAUUAGCAUGGAAUAAUAGAAUAGGACACUUUUCCAUUUCGUUGGUUAUUGGAAUCGUGUAAUGAUUAAUAGGGACAGUUGUGGGCAUUUGUAUUUAAUUGUCAGAGGUGAAAUUCUUGGAUUUAUUAAAGACAAACUAACGCGAAAGCAUUUGCCAAGGAUGUUUUCAUUAAUCAAGAACGAAAGUUAGGGGAUCAAAGACGAUCAGAUACCGUCCUAGUCUUAACUAUAAACUAUUCCGACUCAAUGUUUGACUGGCUUAUAUAACCAGUUGAGCGUUGUAUGAGAAAUCAAAGUCUUUAGGUUCUGGGGGGAGUAUGGUUGCAAAGCUGAAACUUAAAGGAAUUGACGGAAGAGCACAACCAGGAGUGGAUUCUGCGGCUUAAUUUGACUCAACACGGGGAAACUUACCAGGUUAAAACAAUAGUGGGAUUGACAGUUUGAGAGCGCUUUCUUGAUUGGUUGGGUGGUGGUGCAUGGCCGUUCUUAGUUGGUGGAGUGAUUUGUCUGCUUAACUGCGUUAACGAACGAGACCUUAACCUGCUUACUAGACUGGCGAUCAUCAAUCGUUAGCUCUUCUUAGAGGGACUUUGGUUGUUUUAACUCCAAGGAAGUUUGAGGCAAUAACAGGUCUGUGAUGCCCUUAGAUAUCCUGGGCCGCACGCGUCAUACAAUGACUAGUUCAGAAAGUUUUCUCCUGACCCGAAAGGGGAUGGGUAAUCUUGAUAAUACUAGUCGUGUUAGGGAUCGAUCUUUGCAAUUAUAGAUCUUGAACGAGGAAUUCCUAGUAAGUGCGGUUCAUCAGACCGUACUGAUUACGUCCCUGCUCUUUGUACACACCGCCCGUCGCUUCUACCGAGUGGGUGGUCCGGUGAGAUAAUUGAACUUCGCAGGUAACUGAGAGGAAAGAUUAUCAAACCUAUCCACCU
rnacentral:rRNA from 1 species